rnacentral:lncRNA from 1 species
UAACCCUGAAUCUCAAAGUUUGUUAUAAGCUUGCCAGGGAAAUGUUUAAGCCAAGGAUGCUGUGUGAGUGAUGCAGAACGGCUCCAAUGCAGUGUGGCAGCAAAAAUAAGACAACUCCAAGGAGAUGUAAGGCAGAUGUGCAUGUGGUCACAGAGUUGGGAUGUAUGUACUCAUAGUGCUUUAGUCAGCAGGAAAACACUGAUGAAUAAAAAGUCAUUUAGCAAGCAAGGGUCUGGACUUCUGAAAAGAGAUGAGUACUGAACACAGCAAGAAGAGGAGAGACAGAAAUGGUUGAGCAGUAUUUGAGAGGUGCAGUCACAAAGAAAACGUCAUUGGUCCAUAAGAGUGGCCAUCCUUGACAGUAAUAAGAUGAGAUCAAGAGCAGAAGAUGCUCGGAUAGACUGUCAAAAAUGACUUGUUGGCAGCGAGGUCUCUUAAGAUUUGUAGUUUCUUAAGGGAGUUCGUUUGAGCCAUUUAAAACCAAGCCUCCACUUUUUGCCCUAUUUAUAAAAUGACUGUGGAUGAAGCUAGAUUAAAAUCUGUUGUAAGCAUGAGAUCUUUCACUGACAGUUUGAUGGUCCUGAUGAACAAAUAGGUAUUUUUUAUUUAUAAGGUAUGAAUUGGGUGGAAAGAAAAGAUGCAAAAUGCAAUCUUGUUUGCUACACAGAAGUGUAUAACCAGCCUGAUUAGACAAUCCUUGCAAUAUUUCUCAUUGUGGAAGGUCACUCUCACCUUUUUUUCAGUAUUGCCUUUUGGAGGAGAGGGAAAAGGGCUGAGAAAAAGGGGAAAGAAAGCAGCACAGAAGAGGAGCAGGAAAAUUACAGAUGCAGAAGCACGAGAGAAGUCGUGAACAACCCAGUGGAUUUGCUUCCUGAUGUACGACAGCAAACAGUGUUGAUUAAAUUAUCUAAUGCCCUCAUCAAAGAACAAGUAAGCUUUUAGGGAGGAGGAGGAAGCUGGGAUUUGAGGAGCUUAAAAGGGAAAACUAGCUAGAAGAGAUCAUCUGAUUGAAAGUGGACAAGACCGGGGUGGG